rnacentral:rRNA from 1 species
CGGAGUGACUCGAGUGGCGAACGGGUGAGUAACACGUGGGUGAUCUGCCCUGCACUUUGGGAUAAGCCUGGGAAACUGGGUCUAAUACCGAAUAGGACCACGCGCUUCAUGGUGUGUGGUGGAAAGCUUUUGCGGUGUGGGAUGGGCCCGCGGCCUAUCAGCUUGUUGGUGGGGUAAUGGCCUACCAAGGCGACGACGGGUAGCCGGCCUGAGAGGGUGACCGGCCACACUGGGACUGAGAUACGGCCCAGACUCCUACGGGAGGCAGCAGUGGGGAAUAUUGCACAAUGGGCGCAAGCCUGAUGCAGCGACGCCGCGUGAGGGAUGACGGCCUUCGGGUUGUAAACCUCUUUCAGUAGGGACGAAGCGCAAGUGACGGUACCUAUAGAAGAAGGACCGGCCAACUACGUGCCAGCAGCCGCGGUAAUACGUAGGGUCCGAGCGUUGUCCGGAAUUACUGGGCGUAAAGAGCUCGUAGGUGGUUUGUCGCGUUGUUCGUGAAAACUCACAGCUCAACUGUGGGCGUGCGGGCGAUACGGGCAGACUGGAGUACUGCAGGGGAGACUGGAAUUCCUGGUGUAGCGGUGGAAUGCGCAGAUAUCAGGAGGAACACCGGUGGCGAAGGCGGGUCUCUGGGCAGUAACUGACGCUGAGGAGCGAAAGCGUGGGGAGCGAACAGGAUUAGAUACCCUGGUAGUCCACGCCGUAAACGGUGGGUACUAGGUGUGGGUUUCCUUCCUUGGGAUCCGUGCCGUAGCUAACGCAUUAAGUACCCCGCCUGGGGAGUACGGCCGCAAGGCUAAAACUCAAAGAAAUUGACGGGGGCCCGCACAAGCGGCGGAGCAUGUGGAUUAAUUCGAUGCAACGCGAAGAACCUUACCUGGGUUUGACAUGCACAGGACGCCGGCAGAGAUGUCGGUUCCCUUGUGGCCUGUGUGCAGGUGGUGCAUGGCUGUCGUCAGCUCGUGUCGUGAGAUGUUGGGUUAAGUCCCGCAACGAGCGCAACCCUUGUCUCAUGUUGCCAGCACGUUAUGGUGGGGACUCGUGAGAGACUGCCGGGGUCAACUCGGAGGAAGGUGGGGAUGACGUCAAGUCAUCAUGCCCCUUAUGUCCAGGGCUUCACACAUGCUACAAUGGCCGGUACAAAGGGCUGCGAUGCCGUGAGGUGGAGCGAAUCCUUUCAAAGCCGGUCUCAGUUCGGAUCGGGGUCUGCAACUCGACCCCGUGAAGUCGGAGUCGCUAGUAAUCGCAGAUCAGCAACGCUGCGGUGAAUACGUUCCCGGGCCUUGUACACACCGCCCGUCACGUCAUGAAAGUCGGUAACACCCGAAGCCGGUGGC